GACGAACGCUGGCGGCGUGCUUAACACAUGCAAGUCGAACGGAAAGGCCCUGCUUUUGUGGGGUGCUCGAGUGGCGGACGGGUGAGUAACACGUGAGUAACCUGCCCUUGACUUUGGGAUAACUUCAGGAAACUGGGGCUAAUACCGGAUAGGAGCUCCUGCUGCAUGGUGGGGGUUGGAAAGUUUCGGCGGUUGGGGAUGGACUCGCGGCUUAUCAGCUUGUUGGUGGGGUAGUGGCUUACCAAGGCUUUGACGGGUAGCCGGCCUGAGAGGGUGACCGGCCACAUUGGGACUGAGAUACGGCCCAGACUCCUACGGGGGGCAGCAGUGGGGAAUAUUGCACAAUGGGCGGAAGCCUGAUGCAGCAACGCCGCGUGCGGGAUGACGGCCUUCGGGUUGUAAACCGCUUUCGCCUGUGACGAAGCGUGAGUGACGGUAAUGGGUAAAGAAGCACCGGCUAACUACGUG
rnacentral:rRNA from 1 species